UGACAGCUGUUUCUCCAUCACACGCUGCUUCUUGUCCAGAGCUCCUGCUGUAGCAUUGGCCUGAAGAGGAAGAACAACAAGGCACAUCAAUGCAGAGAUCCUCAACUUCUCCCUGCAGUCGCUGCUUGGUUUUCUCCAGGCUAGAGCACUUUGACUGGGAGGCCUCCACAGCUUCCUCUGCCACCUGCAGACGUGAUGAAAGUUUUUUCCUGGAAAAGACACAACAGCAACUCUUUACAACAACCCACAGCAGUGCCAGAACCAAUACAAUUAUCCAAGUGAAAUCCCAGAGAAGAUCAGCAGCCGGGCACAGCCAGGACAUUAACCUGCACUCCUCUGUAUGCCUCUAUCACACGGCCAUGAUUAUAUCAGAGCCUCCCCUAUGGAAAGAGUGAACAAAAGUACAAUACUGCAGGAAGGCUAGCAGUCGACAGGCCGAUCGCUCGCUUCCAAGGGAAAAGGGAGCCCCCCCA